rnacentral:lncRNA from 1 species
AGGGAAUUUAGGAAGUGCCAUCAGGUCCUUCCCAAUAGAGUGCUCUCUAGCAAUAUAAAGAGAUGCAUAUGCAUGCACUUCUCUUGUGGCUAAUAGACUACAGAGUAAUCUAUGGCCUCUAUUGUAAGAUGUGUUUAACGCUUUUUACCUCUGCAGCUUUUGCAUUAAGAGUAAAUCCAUAAUGGAACCUGGCCAGCUGGAGUGCCGAUUAUUUUUGAAAAACAAUUUGGUUCUUGGACAUUGUUUUCUCUUGCUGAACAAGAAUUUAAAUUCAUCCUAUUGCUUUGCUUUUCCUUGACCCAAAGGAAAAUUAGAAUAGAGUUUGGAUUCUGAAACAGUUUGUACUUCUGGACUCAUUGGUGCUUAAUAAUAGAUAUCUCUAACCCCUAGACAAUUAACUAGUGCUCAUAUAUAAUUCCCUUGACUCACAAUGAGGAACUAAAAAGAGUAAAGAUAAAUGUAAAAUCUAAUUGGAAUUCUUACACUUUUCCCUAUAGCCAAAAUGGAGGCUUGAAAAUUUAUGCUACACAAUUACAGUGUCUCUUCACAUUCAAGGAAAGGAAGAGUGAAGCAGUAAUCUUAAAUAUAGUUCAAGGUCAGAUCACACCACUGUUUCUGACUGCCUGAAUUUGUCUCCAGGUUUGUACUUACUCUUCCUCCCCUGUGUUCUGGUUCUUCUCCCUCAGGAUUGACAUUAUAAUUGGACAGAUCCAGACCAAUCUCAGAGCCCUCAAUUCUUAGCAGAUUACCGUCUCCAGGAUUGAUAACGUUUUAGGACAUGAGUGUGGAGCAGGUCAAAGGCUGCAAAACACAGAGAGCUAAAGAGAAAAUGGAAAAUAAUGAAGAACCACCAAAAUAGUGAACCAAAGAAGAGAAGAGUCACUGAGAGUAUUUCCAAAACUGAGUUGCUGGUGGAGGAUUAUCUCCGAAAGUUAAGGACAUGGAUGAAGCUGGAAACCAUCAUUCUCAGCAAACUAACACAGGAACAGAAAACCAAAGACAGCAUAUUCUCACUCAUAAUUGGGAGUUGAACAAUGAGAACACAUGGACAGAGGGAAGGAAAUAUCACACACCAGGUCCUAUCAGGGGGUGGGGGGGCUAAAGGAGGGAUAGCAUUAGGCAAAAUACCUAAUAUAGGUGACAGGUUGAUGGGUGCAGUAAACCACUAUGUGACGUGUAUACAUAUGUAACCAACUUGCAUAUUCUACAAAUGUAUCCCAGAACUUAAAGUAUAAUAAUGUUUCUAAAAGUGAUAUGAAAAAGUAUAAAUGCUAUAAUAAAAAAAAAGAAAACAAUGCACUUGGCUUGACCAUUUUUCCCACAAUAUAAAAAAGCAUAAGGAAAUAGAUUAUUUUAGAC